UUGGUCGUCAAAUGGCGCCAUUUUUGUUGCUUGUGGAAGACCGGCUUUAUUCUGUCUUCUCUGCAUUUAUAUUAUUUCCGUGUGUAAUAUCUUACAUGUUGAUUAACCUUGGAUAAACACGAAGUGUUUGUAUGACAGUUGACAGUACUGAGUAGAGUUCAUGAUGAUAGUUUGUGUCCGUCAUAUUUAGUUGUUCAGCAGAAGUUUGGUGAUUGAUAAUACAUACCGUUUCGUCAUGGCAGACAACGAGGAAAAAGCACUGAUGCUAAUGUCGGAAGCGGAGAAGAAAUCGAAAUCAGCUAAAGGAUUUUUGGGGACUUUAAUGGGGGGGAACGAUAGCACAGAUGAAGCCAUUGACUAUUAUGAAAGGGCAGGAAAUUUAUUCAAAAUGAAUAAAAAUUGGGACAGUGCCGCAGACGCCUAUCUUCAUGCUGCGAAACUACAGAAAAGGGUAGGUAGAGAGCACGACGCAGUGAUGAAUAAAGUUACAGCCGCUAACUGCUUCAAGAAAACGAAUGCGCAAGAGGCCGUGCAUUGCUUGUUGGAAGUUGUCGAGUUCUACAAAGAGACUGGGAAGUUUGUUAUGGCUGCCAAACAACACCAAGCAUUAGCAGAAUUGUAUGAGAAACAUCUCUUGAACUGGCAGCAAACCGUACAUCACUAUCAAGAAGCGGCCGAUAUGUUUUCUGCAGAAAAUAGCACAGCCUCGGCGACCAAAUGUCUUUUGAAGGUAGCAGAAUAUUCUCUUCAACAGGAAAACUACACGAAGGCUAUCCAGAUUUAUGAGGAUGUUGCUGAAGCUGCCCUUCGUAGCGCCUUGCUAAAAUAUAGUGCCACUGAUUAUUUCUUCAGGGCAGCAUUAUGUCAUUUUUGUGUUGACACACUGAACGCACAUAACGCCUUGAUGCGAUAUGCAGAUAUGCAUCCAGCAUUCGAAGAAUCGAGAGAAUAUAAGUUGCUGAAAACUCUGAUUCAGCACGCAGAAAAUGAAGAUGUUGACGCUUUUUCGGAGGCAGUCGUUAAUUACAAUUCAGUAUACCGAAUGGAUGAAUCUUACAUGAAAAUCCUUGAAAAGAUAAAAAGCCACAUUGAUAGUGUUGAUCUUCGAUAAGCAGGAUAUUUGACGUUCCUUUGCAGUAUUUCAUCGCUCGUUGUGAAGAGUUGUGACAAAAAUUAUAGAUUAUUUAGAGAACAGUCAUUAUUAAAGAAUCCUGUGCUGUGAUAUUACUAUCCCCUGUCUCCUUAUUAAUGUUAGAUAAUAUUUGUUAGCUUAUACUGUUUCACCAAACAGGCUUACUGCAUUGCAGUUAUGUGAAAAUUGCUUUCGUAGCUAUGAAGAACUUUGUCAAGUGUGACAUAAUAUGUUCACAAAUGUUAAGAGUUCAUAGGUGCAUUGAACCAGAUCUGAUAAUUAAAGUUCCUUAUAGGCUCCUUAGAAAUCUACUUUUUUAUUGUUGUAAUAUGUGGCAGUAAGUAUGGAUUUAGAUUACUUUUGUUAUUUGUUGCACUCUUAUGGCAUGAUCAUUUGUGUUACUGUAGUUCCUGGUACUCCGAUAAUCACAGUUGUGAAUAGAUUGCUAUGGCUGUAGACUUGUUACACUAACUGUAGCUAAAUGGUGGGGGUUCUUAAGUUUCUUCUACAGCUGUAGUGUAGAAUAAUGCAUUUUAUGGCUUCAUACGACUCCGGGCAUCUUCAAUUUUUUGGUCGUUCUUUUACUAAAGUUUUCACUGUAAUCUGACACAUGAAAUUGAAGAUUGCAAGGGGGGUGGGGGGGUUAGAGGGAGUGAGAGUGUGCAUAUUGUGUGUGUGUGUUCGGAGAGGAGAUAUGGUGUGGCUGUGGCUUCUUAUAUAUUGCGUUUUAACAGCAGUAUUAUCUCUGAUACAUUUUAAUAUGCAAGAAGUGCUUUAACUUCCAUGGGAGAGGGAACCCAGUUACAAUUAUUUCUUGGUGACAGUUUUUAUCAUAAUUCCAUGUAACUUAUCUACUACUGUAAGAAACUGCGUAAUAUUGCCUAAAUUGUACAUUUUGAAGCUAAAUCAUAUUUUUUUCUAGUACCCACUAAAUCGACAACACUACAGUAUGGAGGUACCCUUAAAUUAAUACUGAAAAGGUUGUGCCGCACUUGUGGAUGCCAAGAGAUUUUAUAAGCAGUUAAUGUAUAAUGUAUGGAGAUCUUCUCAAAGUAAUAGCAUUUAUGGCAUGUUCUUUUUAUACAUAGAAAAUAUUCAUAACAAAUGCAAGCUGUAUCUUUCAUUCCACAGCGGAGUGUUCAGUUGGAAUACUUUCUGGUAAAUUGAAAUUACAUGUUCAACAGUCAGUUUGUCUCUUCCUUAAGGAAAUAUAUAUACUCUUUCCAAGCUUUUCAUUCAUAAUACUUGUGCUUACCAAGACAAUGAACUUUUUGAGACAGUUUGAAAACUGCAUUUCAAAAGGAAUAACGUCAUGACAAAAAUGGGCUUCUGAUGUGAAAUAAUUGUAUUUGUAAAUACAAGACAGCACAGUAAUUAAACGACAUUGUCAUCAGUUCGUGCACCUCAUGUCUGUUAGAUUUCUGCGACAGAGAAGUAAAUAAGUGUAACCAUAAUGGACGGCAGUUAACAACUUUCCCUUCAAGAUUUGGGAAGAUGGUCACUCCUGCAUGCUGUCCAGUAAAACAUGUGUCCUUCUCCAUACAGUCAUCAGUUACCAAAAUAUCUGCAUUGCUUGAGAAAAAAAAUCCUGCUGCACAAUGUGUUAGAAAAUUUGUGUGUUCUUAUUUUUAUCAAAUUCAUCAUUAAACUUCUUUUAAACAAGGAACAUUGUUUUUAAAACGUGGAAUAUUUAUUUUUACUCUAGCUACCUUGUAUUAAAUAUGAAGUCAUAGUGGCUUCUUCAGCAAUUAUUAGAGUACUCUAAAUAUUCUCUUUAAAAUUAGACUGUAAAAAGUUGUAUCUUAUUUAAAUGUGUCUUGUUGCAUCUUUUGGAUAAAGAGGGAUAUUUCAUGCUAGUUCCUAACAUUGACCAGUGAUGUAGUAAAUGUGACAAAUGUCGUGAACAACAUGAUGGUUAUAAUGUCAAAUGGACUACACUACAGAACAGUCUGCCACCACAACCAGCUUUUGGGUUCCAUGUUUGAUGGCUAAGCUGAGUAAUAAUAAAACUGUGAAAAUAUGUACCAAAAAGGUGAUGUCACAGCAAACAUUUAACAUUAGGUCAUUGAUCAAAGCUGAAAACUAGCAUUGAAUGUUUUUCUUGCCCCCCCCCCCCCCCUUCCCCCUCUUUCUACGAUAUAUACAAAACAGAAAUUAUUACCAAAUGAGAAGCAGUUUGAUGAAUCUAUCCUGAUUAGUACAUACGGUAGUAACAGCUUUUCUUCAGUCAAAUUUGAUAGUCAAAAAGUAUUGUUGGACAGAAAGAGGGUGGAGUAUGGAUGACAAAUUAGAAUACUGUAAAUAGUCAAAAUUAAAAAUACCAUUAUUAUCAGCAAUAGGAACAUGAGUGUGAGGAAAUACAGUGUGUGAGGAAAACAGUUUUCCCAAACCUUUGUGUGAGCUCAGAUCUCCCUAGUUUUAACUUCAAACAAUGGAAAAAUCUGGAAUGGAAUAAUAAUUAGGAUAGAUUUCUACUCACCAUAUGAGGCGGCCUAGAGUGGCAGGCAGGUGCCACAGUGCCUGGAGAUGACAGUAGCCCUGAGUGUGGGAGCUGAGUUGGUACAUGAAUAUCUGUGUGUGUAAAUGAACAGUUUUAACAGAAAAUGGGAAUUUACUUUUACAUUUAUUGGACUGUUACCUUAUGGAAGAGAGACUGGCACAUCGGCAGCCUGAGUGGCCGUGCGGUUCUAGGCGCUACAGUCUGGAGCCGAGCGACCGCUACACUCGCAGGUUCGAAUCCUGCCUCAGCCAUGGAUGUGUGCGAUGUCUUUAGGUUAGUUAGGUUUAAAUAGUUCUAAGUUCUAGGCGACUGAUGACCUCAGAAGUUAAGUCGCAUAGUGCUCAGAGACUGGCACAUCAAAGUAGGAAUAAAUAAAGCUCAUAUUAUAAAACAUGGUAUAAACUUCAUGUGUCAGUACAAUUUUUGCUGGACUACUUAUUAAUUGGGAUUAUUCUCUUUAAGUGUUUACUGUGAUGUUAAGAUAAAUACUGAAAUAUGUAAGACUAAUGGGUUGGUUCAGCUAAGAGAACAGAAUGAUGGUGUGAAGAAGUGAAGCAUAUAAUGUAUUUCCUAGUAAUCUGUUUCUCCCUUCUGGCCAUAGUAGAUAAAGUAGAUGAGCUAUUAGUGUGUUCAGAUGGUCUCAAAAAUGGGAAUGAGAUUGAUAUACUCUGUCUGUCUGAAUACCAUGUAACUGUGGGCAUGGAUAGUGUCAGUAUAAGUGGGUAUAAUUUAGCAUAUUACACUUGUAGAUCUAGGAUGGAUAAAGGAGGAGUUGCCAUUUUCAUAAAACAAGGGUAUAGAUACACAACUGUUGAAGUAAGAAAAUUUUGUGUUGAUCAGCACUUUGAGGUUUGUGCUUGUGAACUUCAGCUAGAUAAUGUUGUGUUGAUAUUAACAACAGUGUACAGGUCUCCACUAGGAGAUUGGGAACUAUUCAUAAAAAAAGUUUGACUCCCUAUUAUGCUGUCUGUCAAACAAAAAGAAGACAUUAUUAAUCUGUGGUGAUUUCAAUGUUAACUUUCUAAGCAAUCAGUGAUCAGCUUCCCUUCACGUAUAGCUCAGGAUAGUAGUACUCUUAACAGGUAAUGUAUUUGUACAGCAAGAGGAUGAAGAACAAACACAUGUUUUUCCUGUUGUAAAUGGAUUCUCUGACUGUGAUGCACCACUGAUUAACCUACAAAACCGAACAGGGCGUACACUUCAGAAACCAUUAAGUAAAAGUGAGGGUGCUCAACCCGGUAUCUAUAGAUCACUUCAGAGAAAGUUUAGGAAAUGUAAACUGGGAAGAUGUAUAAAAUGAGCCAAAUGCUAAUGAUAAAUGCAGCAUAUUUAUUGAUAAAUUUAUAUCCCAUUUUGAACAUUGUUUUCCAAAGAAAAUUACUGAAUGUAACACCACAAACUUUUCGAAGAAACCUUGGAUUACUACAGGUAUUAAAGUGUCUUCAGAAAGAAAAAGAAAACUGUACGAGACACCAAGAACUAGUAAAGAUCCAGAAGAAGUUUUACACUAUAAAAAUUAUUGUAACAUACCGAAAAAGUUGUAACAAAAUCGGGAAAUAUGUGUGUUAGAUAAGAAAUUAACAAAUUAAUUAAAAUUGUGUGAUGUAGCUGACCUUUUACCCUACCCUGGUGUUUACAAUAUAUUCUAAUUUAUUAUACAGAUUGAAACAUCUGUACUGAAGGAGAUUAAUCAGUGUCCUUUUAAAAUUAUUUUUAUUUUUGGACACAAUCACAUUUACGAUUAUGGAUAACUGAUUUCAACCAGUUCGACAAUCUUUUGGUCAUGUAGUGCCCAUGGAAUCGUAUGUGGUUUUCUUGAUAAGCACAUAAUAUAAAUAUUAUUGUUUUGGUCAGCUAAACCUGGCGUGUAUAAAUGUAAAUGGGGUUUUGCUCUAGAUGACCUAUACAAUUGUGUGAUCAUAAGUCAUUGAAUAAAGAAUAUAUGAGCACAGUUA